AUGAACUUGUUUAGUAAUUUAGAUCUGAUAUGCCACCACAUUAGGGAAGUCUCCUGUUUGAGCUUUCCAGGAAUACUAAUGAAAUGGCACUGUGCUUUGUGGAGAGUGCACUGGCUCUGUAUAAUGCUCAGACUAUUAAGGAUUUUCCUGUUAUGGUUUGGUUUUAUGAUUUAUUUCAAAAUUGUUAUCCUACUCUGCCUGCAAUCUCUGCAAUUAAUACUGGCUCUUCCUCUCUCCUUCCUACCUCACACAUGCCCUCCAGAUCAAAGUUUUUUAAAAAACAAAGUCAAUAGUUUCUCCUUGUUGCAAAGUGUGACCCUGCCCUCUGUUUCAUAAGUAAACACACUGAUUAAGGUCUUUUCCUUCUUAUCAUUCUUCACAAUUAGACAAAUGCUUUCUUGGCAACUCCCCCUCAAGAUUUUUCGCUCCAUGAUUUUUCUUUUGUCUCUCUUACAGGCUCUGCCUGUGCACACGGGACAACUCUGUGUUCUCCUGUUUGCACUGUUGACAACGAGUAGGGACUGAUAAGGUCCUACUAUCAAACUGAUUGUUUCUCCAGGUUCUGUUUCCUCUGGGUUUACGUACUGCAGAGUCCAUUCAGACUUGGGAGGUACCACAGCAGCAUGCUGCGGCUGCCCCUGUGGCUGGUGGUGCUGUGCCCUGCACAGGGACUCUGCUUCUCUGCUGAUCCCAAGGGUCACAAUUUAUUGGCUCCUCUGCAAGCCUCAGGAUUCACGUGGGAAGGUGGGAGUGUGAUGCUGAGUGGAAUGAAUCAAUCCAGCUUCCAUUUUUAACUGCAGUUAUGCUGUUUAUGUUGGGAUGAAGAAACACAUGGUCCUUAGAAAAUCCUGAAGAGCUUCACUUUUACCAUUUGACGUAUUAAUUUUUCCAACUGUGGCUCACUGUGGAGUCAGACUUGUCUCACCAAACCUCAACUGGAGGACCAAGCUGAGCUGUUCUGCUCCUGCCAUGGCAGUGGCAAAAGGCAGACAUGACCUGGAAAUGCCAGGUGGCAGGAGUAAACACACUUUGCUGUCUUCCAGAGACAUACAUGGUAUACUCUAGCACUAGAAGCCAUGAUGUAGUAGGAGGUGCAGAGCCUCCCCCUCACCCCACAAACCUCACAGGAGCUGCGUGAAUCACACAACGUGCUCCAAUUCAUGAGUCACACUAAGUAUACACAAACUGAAUACGGCUGGAACUGCAUGCUUACAAGCUGUGUUUCAGUAGAUCUGUUGUCUAGCUGUGCAAAAGUGGUUUAGUUGUGAUGUCAAUUGUUUUUGGUUUUUGUUAUCCCUGUUAAAGGUCGUUAGAUGGGUAUUUUGUGUUAACAGACAGGAGCACAGAAAUAGGCACUGUCAUUAAUUAACUGUGAAUACCUGUGUCUGAGUUUUGUGUUAUGUUGGGCUCCAUUGUUUUGAUUUCUUUGGGAAACUUCUAAAAGCCAUUGGAUGUUGCUGUCUCUACCAUCAAGAGCAAUUUUCUUCCAGGAAUCUCCUGCACAGCAGUUUCUUGAGAUUUUGUCCGCUUGGGUAGCUGAUGAAGAGUUUUGCCCUGCAACAUCAAGCAGGUUAUGGCUCUCUAGGUGCCAGCCCCCAGUCAGCCAGCACAGUUUAUGCUGUGCUGUCCCUGCAUCUGACCCUGACACCCAGCUGACUUCUGAGCAUCAGGUGGGUGUGUGCUCUUGAUCUUUUUGCAAAGUUCAUAAAUUCAAAGGGUUUUGUUAAGGUAUUGACACAGACUUCCUCACAGUCCAUGUAAGUUCUGAGUCCAUGCCUUGGGAAGCACCCACAUUUUUCUUUUGAAUAUACUGAAACAUCUUAGAUGAUGGACAUUGCUAAGUGUUACAUUUAAAGGAUGACUUUGUAAAGAGACAGAAACAAACUGGCCACACUUUUCUCGGUUUUCUUUAUGGUGUUGAAUAAUCAACAGUUUUGCUGUACCCCAGGUGUUCUUUUGAUUCCAGGUUGAUGCCAUCAUCCACAGCUCAUGUGCUCAUCUCCUGUUUCAGGAAAAGGACUUGGGUAAUUGCCUGAUCACCUUACCCAAACAUCUGUAAUCACCUAGGGCCACCCCACCUCAGAAGUGUUUCAUGUAGCUGAAUUUUUCCAUUGUUUACAUGAUGGGUUGCAAAGGGUGGUUGCCUCAGACAGGUGUGCCUCAUCCUCAGAGACAGAAUUUGUUCAGCUGUGUGUUUUCUUAGAUGACUGUAGUAACAAUCUUCCAGUAGGGAUAUUGAUCCCCUUCCUCCUUUUACUGCCCCACCUCCUACUUCCUCUUCCUUUAGAAUAUUUGCAUUUUUCUGCCAGGACCACUAGGUGUCACAAGUACUCACAACUAUAAAAUCCUCUAAAAUAUUUGUCCAGACAUCUUGAUAUUUCCCUAAUCAAAGGGUCCAAGAAUUUUGAUAUAGACCUGAUGUGUGUGUGGAAGCUGCUGGAUGUAAUAAAAAAAUCAGAUAUUUCAAGCUGGUGCUUAUAGAGCAGAUCAAUGCUAUUUCAUAGCAAACAAUUUGGCAUCUGAGGGAGCUGUACCUGUUGUGGAAAGGCCUUAAUUCAGCUAAUGAAAGAAAACUUAAAAAUUGGACAUGAUCUGAAAGACCAACAGACUGUGUCCAAUACAAGGAAAUAUGCUGGUGAAAC
rnacentral:lncRNA from 1 species